rnacentral:rRNA from 1 species
UACGAAGGGGGCUAGCGUUGCUCGGAAUGACUGGGCGUAAAGGGCGCGUAGGCGGUUCAUACAGUCAGAUGUGAAAUUCCCAGGCUUAACCUGGGGGCUGCAUUUGAUACGUGUGGGCUUGAGUGAGGAAGAGGGUUGUGGAAUUCCCAGUGUAGAGGUGAAAUUCGUAGAUAUUGGGAAGAACACCGGUGGCGAAGGCGGCAACCUGGUCCUUGACUGACGCUGAGGCGCGAAAGCGUGGGGAGCAAACAGG